CUCACCACCUCAGAGAGUAAUCUUCAUGGAUUGCUAUGCCUGAAAACAAUUCCAUAGUUGGUGGCCAACCUUUUGAUGAUACUUUCCAAGGCAUGAUGUAAGGAGCACAAUGCUAUUUGCAAACCGGAGCAUCUGGAAGUCCUCACAACCUGUUAGAAAUUCUUCUGGGACUGAGAGUCUGUACAGGAUCCCAUCCAUGACAGCAGAGACUACGUGACCACCAAAAUGCUAGAGCUAGGCAGGAAAUGGCACAGCAGAUGUACAUUGAACCUGUACAACCAUAGAUAGAAGUCCUGCUCCAUGUUCUUUCUCUGCCCUUGGGACCAGCACAACAGAAGAUGACAUAUACUUCAAUGGAAGGUUACACUUGUUCAGAAUUAAUGGGAGAUAGAAACAAAAGAUGUUCAUAAAUACAACAUUCAAAAGAUAAAAUUCAGAUGGAGACAAGAUGCAAAUAUAUUACAAGUAAAAUAAUAAUACAAAAGUAGGUGAGAUGGCAAGAGGAAGUACAAAAUUAUUUCUAAAAUGAGUGGGGCAGAGUGAUAUGUGAACAGUUCAUGAAUUUUCAGACUUCCAUCAUUGUUUUGAAUUUUUUCCCCAUCUUUCUUUCCCCAUCAAGUCUUUCCAGUCUUGAAGGAGCAUUCUGAUUACCCUCCAAUUCUCUCUCCAUAUCACUCUAAAAUUCUUGAAAAUCUAAUCUCUC